ACGAGCGGCGGACGGGUGAGUAAUGUCUGGGAAACUGCCUGAUGGAGGGGGAUAACUACUGGAAACGGUAGCUAAUACCGCAUAACGUCGCAAGACCAAAGUGGGGGACCUUCGGGCCUCAUGCCAUCAGAUGUGCCCAGAUGGGAUUAGCUAGUAGGUGGGGUAACGGCUCACCUAGGCGACGAUCCCUAGCUGGUCUGAGAGGAUGACCAGCCACACUGGAACUGAGACACGGUCCAGACUCCUACGGGAGGCAGCAGUGGGGAAUAUUGCACAAUGGGCGCAAGCCUGAUGCAGCCAUGCCGCGUGUGUGAAGAAGGCCUUCGGGUUGUAAAGCACUUUCAGCGGGGAGGAAGGCGGUGAGGUUAAUAACCUUGUCGAUUGACGUUACCCGCAGAAGAAGCACCGGCUAACUCCGUGCCAGCAGCCGCGGUAAUACGGAGGGUGCAAGCGUUAAUCGGAAUUACUGGGCGUAAAGCGCACGCAGGCGGUCUGUCAAGUCGGAUGUGAAAUCCCCGGGCUCAACCUGGGAACUGCAUUCGAAACUGGCAGGCUAGAGUCUUGUAGAGGGGGGUAGAAUUCCAGGUGUAGCGGUGAAAUGCGUAGAGAUCUGGAGGAAUACCGGUGGC
rnacentral:rRNA from 1 species